AUUAAACACAAAAAAAUAAUGUACUUUUUAAAAAACAUGUUAAUGCUAUGGUUAAUAAUUCUUUGUUUAAAAAUUCUUUUAUUUGCUUGAUAACUGUAGAAUUGAAAUUAUAAUUGAAUUAAGACCAAGAUCUUUCAGAAGUUUAUGUAUAUAUUGUGUUAUAGGAUGUUUAAAUUAUUCCUUCAGGUAUAACGUCAAGUUGCCAACCACAGUGAAAAAGAUGUACUGUUUUUUAAAUUGAAUAAAAAAGUAAAAGUAAAAUUUCUAAUUGUUUUUAAUAAGAAUCUAUAACAUUGUCAGCCCUAUAAUACGGCAUUAAUAGUGCCCAGCUUAAAAUAGUGCAGGUUAAAAGUCACGGUGAUGCUCUGCAUUUUAUAUGUCAGAAGGAUGCUAGGCUGAUGAAAGCAAAGUUAGAGAAAGCUCUGCUUUUGCUUAAUGUGACUUAUUCAUUUGACUCUGCAACCAGUCAAAUAGUUUAUUGUUUCAAUAAAAAUAUACUUGAAUGAUGAAUUUAUGUGAACACAAAGCUUUCUGAAAAAUUAGGGGCUUUUGAUUUGUUGUUCCCUUGAAAUCUGAAUUAUAAAAGUAUUUAAACAAAAUGGUACCAGAAAUCCAAUGCAAUAUCUCCCUUUCCCUUUUUUUAGAUAUUAAACUAUGUACUUGAAUUUUUGUGUAUAUUUUUGUAUAACAAGUAUGUAUGUAUGAUAUGUGUAAUAUAUAUAAAAUUAAGCAACAUAAAAAUAUAAAGUUGAAUUGCAAUUCAUUUUCUUAUGAAAUUGUAUAUGUGACAUUUUCUUAUUUUAAACUGAUUUAUUUCUCACCCACAGUCAAAUUGAUGUAUCUCAGCCAGAAUGAAUAAACCUUACUUUUAAUGUGAAAAUAUAUUUUAAUUUCAUUUUCAGUGAAAAGAAUCAAUGAUUCUUUGAAGUGUUUUUUUUUUCCUUCUUGUAACAGUGAACAGUGUUUGUUUAAAAUUGGUACACAUUUCCAGAAUAAAUGAUCAUAAAAUGAAUGAGAUAGUGUUUUGGGAUAACUAUUGGGUUUUAACAAGAAUGAACAACAUUCAUGAAUAAUGCAGCAAAUGCUUUUUGUUUGUUUUUACAUUAGUUAGGUUUUAUUGCUUAUUUAAAACCUCACUUUGUUCUCUGGUACUCAGACUAAUAUAAGAUUUUUCAUGGCUAUUUGAAUUUAUACCCUAGUUAGAAGAAUGAGGGGAUAUGACUAAAUAUAAAAAUAUAAAUAAUAAUGGAAAAGGGGUGUUCUUGACCCUUUUUGAAGGGAGUGUUUACAAGUUAGAAUCUGAUGAAACCCAGGACUCUCUCCAGAAGCAUGAACAUGGCACACUUUUAUGGGAAAUCCUUCAUACUCUUUUAAAAAAUAUUUCAUUUUGAAACAAUUUCAGAUUUACAGAAAAGUUGCAUACUACCAUAUAUUCUGCACCCAGUUUCAGCAACAGUUACCUCACAUUUGUUUUAUUCUCUUCGCAUUUCCCUCAUCUUAUCUCUCUCCACAUAUAUUUCUAUAAUCUUUUUCUUCUGAAUCAUCUAUUAGUAAAUUGCAGACAACGUGCUCCUAAACUAUAGGCCAUUCAUUAAUAGCACCACACAACAAUGACCAAAAUCAGGAAAUUUAUCUUUCAUAUAAUAGUAUCAUCUGAUCCAAAGACUGGAUUCAAAUUUCAGUUGUUUCAGUAAUGUCCUGUAUAUCAAUUUCUAUUCUUGAUCCGUGGGUAGAUCUUCUGACACUGUGUAAAUGGACGUGGCAGGUGUCCGUUGUUUGUAUUAUUUUUCAUGUUCAGAGAUGUUGCCUGUUUAUGUGAAUGUAACCAAGAGAAUAGAUGUGAUUUACACAUCUCUUGCAUGUUGCACAUGUUGACUUCUACACACUGGGUUUGUGGUAGUAGGGUUAUUUGGCAUUAUGGGUGGCUUUGUGGUACUGUUUUAAAUAAUAAAUCAGUAUUUGUAAAACA